rnacentral:rRNA from 1 species
UACGGGAGGCAGCAGUGGGGAAUAUUGCACAAUGGGCGCAAGCCUGAUGCAGCCAUGCCGCGUGUGUGAAGAAGGCCUUCGGGUUGUAAAGCACUUUCAGCGGGGAGGAAGGCGAUAAGGUUAAUAACCUUGUCGAUUGACGUUACCCGCAGAAGAAGCACCGGCUAACUCCGUGCCAGCAGCCGCGGUAAUAAU